GCCCCUGCUAUUUCUGCAGCAAUUCGCACCCGAUGAUCCCACGAUAAUAUUAUUGCUGGGUGCGGAAGAAUCUGAUCAUCCAACUCAGACUUUGAGACAGAAGGGUUAGAACUGUGACUGAGGUUUCCAUGAAUAUGGGAUGACAAGGUUCCAUUCGAGAUGUACUCAUAAACUAAUAAUGGGACUUGAGUUUCUAAGCAACAACCAAGUACCUGUUGUAAACAGUAAACUUAAAUGUUAAAAGUGUGAUCAAGUGCUAGGUUCAAUUGUAUUUUGAGUUAUCUUUGGUUCAUGAGUGACUAAUGAGUUAUCCUAAACUGUUCGCUUAUUAUGGUUGAAGCGAAUAGGAACACGAGUUGAUGUAGUAGCUCAGUGUGUGCGACUGCGUGUGUGUGUAAGUCUAGUGUGUUAUUUUGUAAGAGUAUAGGAGUCUUUCUAAUAUUAUAAGUUCAGUGUGUUAUUUUGUAAGAGUAUAGGAAUCUUUCUAAUAUUAUAAGUUCUCUCUUCAAUCCUCUUUAGGCAUUAUAAAUUUCUCUAUCGUCGAAUUGUGUUGCUCUCUUCUUCCAUUCAUAAUAAAAUGGUAGCAGGAGCCUAGUACAAAAAUCAACAGUACCUUGACAAUGUGUCUGUGAUUUAUUUGGGAGAGUAUGAGUAUCUCAUUUAUAAACUGUCCAAUUUGAUCUUUAUCCACUGCAUUGGACUUCUUCACAGCUACAAUGCUUCCAUCUGAUAACAUUCCUUUGUAAACAGUCCCAGCCCCUCCUUUACCAAGAAUUCGAAUUUCAUUGAAAUUGUCUGUUGCUUUCUCCAACUCCUCCUUCAAAAAGAGCUUUGGCAAAGAGCCACCACUACUUUCUCCAUUUAAGGAAAUACGUUGUCGCAAAAGCAAUCCACCAUUCCUCUUGAAAUACUUUUGCUUAGCUUUGUUUUCUUCCCUCUUCCGGAGCCAUUUGCAUAGCCAAAGACAAACUGCUACCAGGAUCACAAAAAUAAUUGCUGCUCCAAUACCUGCUUGUGAGCAAACCAAUUUCAUCUAAAACAAGCAUAAAUUCAUUUUGAGAAUCUAAGAGAAAGAGCUUUAAAUGCUUAUCCAGGCCCCUUUGUAAUUUUAAAGCAUAUAUUAAGUUGAACUUCUAAGUUUCUAAAGAGCAGUUAGCUAGAAUAAACAUGAAUAGGAUUAUGAAUCAUUUGUUGGGACAGUUCAAAAGGAGUAAUUUGUGUCAAAUAAAAAUUUAUAGAAAGCUUAAGUUAAUCUAACAAAGAAACAAGAGGAGAAAAAAGAAGACAAAGAAGAGAGUUAUACAAUACCGAUGGAGAGUUGUUUAGCUAGCAUAUGUCUCACAUUAUUUGAGUCACAAUGGUAAGUGCCAAGAGUAUUAACACAGCGAGUAUUGUUGGGACAAGGAUUCCUUUUUGGACUGGCACACUCAUCGAUGUCUGUGAAAAUUAACAAGAAGUCAUCAUAAAAACUGACAUUAGUAACUUAGAAAAUAAGUCAUGUUACAUGCUAAAAACAAGUUAAAAUAAAGGGGUACAGUGGGAUAUUGUUAUAUUGUUACUCUCUUUGUUUCAUUUUAUGUCUUAGUUUGAUUUUGCACUAAAUUUAAAAACCUAAAGAAUACUUUUGGAUCUUGUGUUGAACAAAAGGUGCCUAUAACACACUAAGGGGUCAUUUGGUAGAUUCAGUGUUUAGGGGAGCGCAAAGCGGUAAAAAGCGACAAGGCCCCACUUCAUGCUUUAAGCGAAGCGUGAAGCGAAGCACUCGCUUCAUUGAAGUGAAGCACAAUUUAAAAGAAAAAAGACCAAAAUAAAUAGACAAAAUUUAUAAGCAAAAAUUCAUAUUAAAAUACUAGAAAACAGACAUACAAUUGUUGUCCUAUUGGUCUCACUUUUUUCCCAUAUUUUCAUGUUGGGCCAGCCAUUUUUAAUCGCGGAUAAGAUUUAAGAAAACUAAUCAACAUUAUAUUUUUAUCACUAUUAAGAAAAAAUUCAACAACAUUUUAGUCAUUGUUAAGAAACAAAACAAUUUAGCGAUGUAUAUUUUAAUCACUGUGAGGAAAAAAAUUAAGCAACAUAUAAUUUAAAUAAUCAAAGCUAAACAGGGCAAAGGAAAACAGAAUAACGAACAAAGUGGAAAAAAAAUAAAAAUAUCCUAGGCUAGUUGUAGUAGUAGUAGUAGUAAGAAGAAGAAGAGGAAGAACUAGGUAAGUCAUGCCUAUUUUUAUUCUUUAAAAUCGAUCACUUAUUACUUAGAAAAAAUAAAAGCGUUGCUUUUCUCGCUUCACCGCUUCUGGUCGCAUUGCGCUUCAAGCCUAGAAGCGGUCGCUUCUUUUCACAUGCCUCGCUUCAGCCAACUGAAGCGCUGAACCCUCGCUUCACCGCUUAAAGCAAUGAAGCGCUCGCUUUCCUGAACACUGGGUAGAUUGUAUUAGGAAAAAUAGUUCAUGUAUUAUGUAUAGUAUUAUAUAGUACUAUGUUUGGUGGGAAUUUUGGGCCUAUUUAUAAUUAAUGCAUGUAUUAGUUAUACAUGUUAUAUGGUAUUAUUAUAGGGUGUAUAACUAAUACCUUCCAUUUGGUGGUAUUAAUACAUAGGAUUUAAUACCAUGGUUCAUUAUAUGUAAAGACAAAAAUACCCGUCAAAUCCUUUUAAUCAUUUUUGUUUACUUUCUUGAUUUUAUGUUUUAUAUUUGUACUAGUAAAUUUAUUUAAAUAAAUUAGCUUACAAAUUUUAUUAUUUAGAGAGAGUUGUUUGUUGCUAAAUAAAUCUAAUACAAAUCAUUAAAUCAAUACAAUAUUUGAAAUGUGAGUUGUUCAACAUUUACUAAUUCAAAAGGCAAAAUAUAUGGCCACAUGACAUUUAUGAUCUUAAUUGAAUGUAUUACUUAUUGAUAUAUAUGUGGUUUUAUGAUUAUUUGUAUUUUGAACAAUUUAUAAAAUUACAUACAUAUUAAAACUAUAACUUGCCAUUUUGUGUGUAAAAAUAGAUGGUUUAUUCGAUAUUUUAGUAUUGUUUACCGUCUUUUCGGUUUUGAAAGUAGAUGGUCUAUCUUUUUUGAAUUAAAAAUUGACGAUUUGUGAGUGAUCAAUUUAUUAAGGGUUAGAACUGUGACUGAGGUUUCCAUGAACAUGGGAUGACAAGGUUCCAUUCGAGAUGUACUCAUAAACUAAUAAUGGGACUUGAGUUUCUAAGCAACAACCAAGUACCUGUUGUAAACCGUAAACUUAAAUGUUAAAAGUGUGAUCAAGUGCUAGGUUCGAUUCUUGCUAACUUUAAGUUUUUAACAUCAUUUUUUGUUAGUCAAAACUCACUAAAUAUUUUGUUGGUUACUUUUUAAAAUUUUGCACACCCUUCAUAAAAUGUCUGGCUCCGCCACUGUGCAAGUCUAGUGUGUUAUUUUGUAAGAGUAUAGGAGUCUUUCUAAUAUUAUAAGUUCGCUCUUCAAUCCUCUUUAGGCAUUAUAAAUUUCUCUAUCGUCGAAUUGUGUUGCUCUCUUCUUCCAUUCAUAAUAAAAU
rnacentral:lncRNA from 1 species